AUUGUUUGGCAUGGGAUUGGGCUUUAGACUUGGUAUGUUCGAGAGAAACGAAGAAGGUCGUCUCUUUUUUUUUUAACAACUAAGAAGGUCGUCUCUCUUCUACCUGCGACGGCGCCUGAUGCUGUUUGGGAUUCUUUUCACCGUCUGAAACGAUCUGCGUAAAGGUUUCGUAAUUAUUGAUUCGCUCUCGCUCCCCUCCCACUACGUGUCUUCAAUGCUUUGUUUUGACAUACUAAACGUGUUCUUCACGGGGUGGUAAAACAGAGCAACAGAUGGAGGAAUAAAACCUCUUCAUGUGGCGGCUCUAAAGCGACACAUAGAAAGGAUGCAGUUACUCUUGGAUUUGGGAGCUUUUGUUGCUCAUAUCACUAGAAGAUGGAACCCCAAUAGAUCUUAUAGGUUAUUCUUCUAAAGGAGAUCUAUAAAUGUAUAUAUAUUUAUAUUUGUGAGAUUUAUAACUCUAAAUUACGUCUGUAGGUUUAUCUGCAUACUGUAGAGAUUCUGAGAAGUACAUAAUAAAACUAUCACAGGUUCGCCUUAAUAUUGUUGUUUUAUAUCCUGUUAGUUGAGCAAGUAAUGUUGUUAUGUAUUCUCACGAUCUAUUGCCAAUAUUUUCACUUGCUUAAAGGUUGCUGAAAAUAUAUAUAUAUAUUCCUACUUUCACAUCUGGAAAGCAUGAAGUUCUCAAUUUUUGAAGUUGUAUUUCCCCAUCUGAAGUUAGUUUCUUCUUCCAUAAUAAUGAAAGAUUCUUCUAUAAAAUCAACAUCAGCCAAUGGUGUUUUAGAAAAAAAGUGUAUGAAGGUGUAACAACAUCGUAGAAGUUUGUUGGAGGGAUUUACAAAGACUCAGAUGGGAAGUUUUGAGGUCACAAAAGGAGAGAUAACUCCAGCUGGAACAACAAGGGAGUAAAAACAAAGUAAUUGAGUAGGAGAGAAUGGAAAGCUUUCAAAUACACAGAUUUUCUUCUGAUGAUUCAGAAGAGAAAUGUAGACGACGCUUGCUACCUCGGCGAUCCAACGGUCCGUGAGUUCCAAGAAGCUUGCUCUGAGCACCACCUCCUGAAAGGCCAAGGCGUUGGAGGACAAGCCUUCUUGACCAACGGUCCUUGCUUCUCACCUGAUGUCUCUAACUACAAGAAGUCAGAGUACCCUCACUCUCACCACGCUAAUAUGUUCGGUCUGCACGGCGCCGUUGCGAUACGCCUGAGAUGCAUCCACACUGGGGAUGCUGAUUUCGUCUUGGAGUUUUUUUUUGCCUAAGGACUGUGAUAAUAUGGAGGAGCAGAGGAAAAUGUUGAACGCUCUUUCGACCAUUAUGGCUCAUGUGCCUAGGAGCUUGAGGACUGUUACGGAUAAAGAGCUGGAAGAAGAGAGUGAAGUGGUGGAAAGGGAGGAGGUAGUGACGCCUAAGAUAGAGAACACAUCGGAGCUACAUCAUAGUAAUCCUCAGAAUCUUGGAUUUGUGUUUGAUGGAGGAGACAAGCUGCCAACUGAUGGUUUUGGUUUGAAAAGAGGUUAUGACUACACUAAAGAUUCUAAUAUCAAUGAGAGCAACACUUUCACCAGUGGUGGUUUUAAUAGUAUGGCUGAGAAGAAGCGUACAAAGGCAGAUAAAACCAUCACUUUGGAUGUUCUUAGACAGUACUUCGGUGGGAGUCUUAAAGAUGCAGCCAAGAGUAUUGGUGUGGUAUUGUUGUGUCGAUGGUGAUGCAAUAUGCAGAGAAUAUUGUAAAGGUUUAUUCAACAUCAGUGCCACUGCUUCUCACUGCAGUUGUCUUUGUAUACUUAUUCAGUUUUCAUGUUUCAUUAACCUUCUUCCUGGGCUCAAGAGAUGUGAAAUGGUCAACUGAAAUCUUUUAGGAUGAAUGUAUAUAUUGUUAUUGUAAUUUUUUUGUCCUAUUGAUAUGUAAAGCAAAACAAAGGAGUUUGCGUAUGAGAGAGAGAGAGAAUCACUACUUUUCUUCAGUUUACGGCUAGGGUUUCAUCAUAUUCAUUACGUUUA